rnacentral:rRNA from 1 species
GAAGGCGCCCGAUCUCGUCUGAUCUCGGAACCUAAAC